rnacentral:rRNA from 1 species
AAGUCGGAAUUGCUAGUAAUCGCGGAUCAGCAUGCCGCGGUGAAUACGUUCCCGGGCCUUGUACACACCGCCCGUCACACCAUGGAAGUUGGUAACACCCGAAGCCUGUAGCCUAACCGCAAGGAGGGCGCAGUCGAAGGUGGGAUUGAUGACUGGGGUGAAGUCGUAACAAGGUAAC